rnacentral:rRNA from 1 species
GGGUGCGAUCAUACCAGCGUUAAUGCACCGGAACCGUCAGAACUCUGCUGUUAAGCACGCUUGGGCUAGAGUAGUACUAGGAUGGGUGACCUCUCGAGAAGUCCUAGUGUUGCACCCU